GAACCUUCGAUGACGAUGACGAUGUGAUGAUGACAUAUGAAGGCUCGAGCGAGACGAAGAAGUAAGUUGCCUGAUUUCUUUCCAGGAUUAGCGAAGGACUUCAGGCUAAGCGAGGAGCGAGAUUGGUCUGGUGCUGGUGGGGAAUUGUUGAAGGAUGUAUUUACUUUAUCGUAUUUCUAUUUUGACGAUAAAGUCUUGAUGAUUGAUAUACUUUGAUUUUCUUUUGAAUUUAAGCAAUGUACUCACGGUUAUAUGUCUUCAUACAUAUAAUCGGUUCGCCUUUUGCUGCGAUACUCUGCAUAUUAUGAUUCCUUACGAAAAAUGAGCGAUACCCGUUUUGUUUUUGUUUGUGAAAUUCCUGAUAAUUAAAAAGUUAUAACGACAUUGACGAAUU